rnacentral:rRNA from 1 species
ACUAAACGCUGGCGGCGUGCCUAACACAUGCAAGUCGAACGAGAAAGUUGGCUUCGGCCGAUGAGUAAAGUGGCGCACGGGUGAGUAACGCGUGGAUAAUCUGCCCUUUAGUUUGGAAUAACGUACCGAAAGGUGCGCUAAUACCGGAUAAUACUGAAUGACUACUGUCGUUUAGUCAAAGAAGGCUUCUGUUUACAUGCUUUUGCUGAAGGAUGAGUCCGCGUACCAUUAGCUAGUUGGUAGGGUAAUGGCCUACCAAGGCGACGAUGGUUAGCUGGUCUGAGAGGAUGAUCAGCCACACUGGAACUGAGACACGGUCCAGACUCCUACGGGAGGCAGCAGUGAGGAAUAUUGCGCAAUGGGGGCAACCCUGACGCAGCAACGCCGCGUGAGUGAGGAAGGUUUUCGGACCGUAAAGCUCUGUCGAGCGGGAAGAAAUGCAUGGUGGCUAAUAUCCAUCAUGCUUGACGGUACCGCUAAAGGAGCACC